ACAUUGGUCGUCUCUAGCUUCUUUUUCUUAUUCCCUUCGUUUUAUCAAUUCCAAUUGCACAGAAACUAAAACUGUAGAGGUCAUUGACCUAGAUCUGGGACACAACAAUCUAUAAGAAACAGAAGAUGAAUCCUCAGACAAGUAUGGCUCUGCGUGAAGACCUCAUUCAAAGAACUGUCUAUGUGUCUGAUAUUGACUAACAGGUCACUGAGGAGCAGCUUGAUUGUUUGUUCAUCGGCUUUGGGCAGGUCUACGUCUCUUCUACAAGUUCAUAUUUGUUUGUGUCCUGUUUUUGGUUCUCAGGCUGAAGAUGAGCAUGAGAUGCGUGCGAGAACUAUCUACUACACUAACAUCGACACUAAGGUCACUCAAACGGACAUAAAACUCUUAUUUGAGGCUGCGUGUGGAGAGGUAUACCGUCUGAGGCUUCUGGGAGAUUAUCAUCAUCCCCAACUAGAAUCGGUUUCGAUGAGUUUGUCAUGGCUGAAAGUGCAGUAACUACUCUCAAUUGCAGUGGCGUGCUUCUUGGCUCUUUACAGAUAAGG